ensembl:lncRNA
UAUUCAAGUAGCCUCGUCCCGUCACUGCUUUCAGAGGGAGGAGUCAUCCACAAACAAAUGCAACUGUGAUUGACUAAAGAUUUCUCUACAUCUUGAGUAGUAAGGACUCAGUCAUCAUGGAAAGACACAUCCUUUCUUGUAUAUUUCUCUAUGGAUUUCUACAUGCAUCCUCUGCACAAGGCUUUGUAUUAAUGGCUCUACAGAUGAGAAUAACCUCCUUUGGAGAGGUUAGCAAUGCAAUCAUCAUUGAACGUGUUAAAGAGUUUUUUGAAAAGCAGAUCCCGAAUGGAACAUUUCACACAAUCAACGUGGCAAACAUUCAAAGGGUGGAUGCUAAUUGAAGACAGCAGUUCAAGGUUAUGCUGGCAGAAUUGUUUCAACACCAUGUGAAAUGGUAGUUAACCUUAUUCCUUUCUUCAUAUUUGGAAAGACUCCUUUGGCCAUUUAUGCCACUCUACAAUCCGUGAACAAUAUUCCAAAGAAUUGGAGAUGUUUAUUAGGGUUCAAAUUGAUCAAACACAGCCAGUUUAGUGAAUUUUCCGGCGUUAGGCAAAAGUGUUCAAGUGAAAAGUUGAAAAAAGUUGCAAAAAAAUCAAAAAGUUGAUUCAACUGUUACAGUCAAUUGUACCAAAGAGCUGGAGUCAUUAUACAGUGUUAAACUCUACAUAGAGUUUAUUUGUUUUGUAUUCAACACUGAUCAGAUUUAUUUGCGACACUUAGUAGAAUUAAAUUAUUAAUUUAGGUUUUAAAUGUCACUGUACACAACUGUCAUACUUCUUGGUGUUGGGCUUAACUCUUUAGAUUUUACACUUAUUCCGAGUUACAUUGUUAAGACUUCGCUGAGCGUUGAUUUAACACUGAUAACAUUGGGACAAUAUUAACACCAGCUUAGAGUUAAAAUUGAAUCUCACAGAGUCAAUUUAACUCUCAGAAAUGUGCUGUGAUAUAUAAAGAGAGCAGUUCAAGGUUAUGCUGGGAGAAUUGUUUCAACACGAUGUGUAGUGGCAGUUGACCUUAUUCUUCAUAUCUGCAAAGACUGCUUUAGCAAUUUAGCAUGACGCAUCAAAUGUUGUUGCACUUCACUGUGUGGCGGUGAUCUACAGCCCACACCUAGAAAUUACCAGAACUAUCUUGAUUUCCGUCUGAUUUUUUAAUCAAAAAUGUUUUCACUCUACAAUCCGUGAACAAUAUUCCAAAGAAUUGGCGAUGUUUUUUGAAUGUGCAUAGAAGAAUGGAAAGCUCAAACUAAGGAAUAUGAUCUUCCAAAGAGGUUAUAAAUAGGUAUCAAUAAUUCCCAUGCUCUUUAACUGGAAGAGAAGCUGCCAAAAAACACCACACCCAUCAUCAUGAAUGAGGAAAGAUCUCACAUAAACACUGGCAACAAUAAACUCGGUGAGUGUCAAGCUUAUAGAAUCUUCCAAGCAGAAAGUGAAAGCACUGCCUAUGCAUUUAUUUCCUUACCUUCAUUUGGUCAUUAUUUAUUUCUAUUUUUUUGUAUUGUAUUUACUACAAAAAAAACCAUCACAGUUAAGUAUAUUAAAUUAACUAUUAAAAUUAUAAAAAACAUGAAUGACAAUCUUGAGUGGAAGAAUUCAUCUUUGGUAUUUUUUUUCAUUUGCAUUAAUGACUGACUACAAUAUUUUUACACCAUUCUCCAUCUCUGAUCUACAACAGCCAAAACUCCUAAACCAUCCUUUUUCUUUGAAAAGACAAUUGUUCCUAUGAAACAAACAAAUGAAAGUAUGUGAACUCAAUAAUCCAUCAACUUGUCACCAAUCCUUUGCAGCUCCUCUCUCAUCUCCCUCUGUAGAGCCAAAGGCUCCAUGCAAGGCUCUGCUUAGCAGCGCCAACAGGUCAACAGCCCCCCCAGGUCCCCUGGACAGGAAGAACUCUAGAGCGCAAGUGGAGGCGCGAGGAAGCCGCACGCCCGACAUCCUGCAUCCUGGAAAGUGAAUUCAAGGAGAUGUUAAUAGGACAUUAAAGUUCAUCUCACAUCUUCUUCUGAAAAAAGUUUAUUACACCCAUACAGAGCCUGGUAAAGAGGUCACCUGAUUUAUAUUAGAGCUGUAGUUUGAAGUGAUAAGGAAAUACAGACUAGAGAAGCAGGUCAGGCCCCUAUGCCAUCAUGAUCAUACCCUAUGAUACACAUCUUAUUCCAGGUAUUCUCAAUCAGAGGUUUAAACAAUAGAUUCCAUAUGGAAUUACAGAAAUAUGCACAGUUAUGAAAGAUGGAAGUGAGUUUCCAAGACCUGAAAGAUAAAGGGAGCAGAUUUCAUACAAAGACAUUAUUGAUGAUUUUGCAUCAAGGCCAGAAACGUCAGGUUUUAGAUUUAGUUUGUGUUUUCUGUUCUUAGUGCAAUAGUGAAACAGUUCGAUUGUAUUUAGUGUGAUUCCACAUUUGUGUGAUGAAGAAUUUGUGCUAUUUACAAUAUUUAUUCUAUAUUUUAUUUGUAUAUUGUUCUUUUUGAAUUGUAUAUUUUGUGCAAAUGUGUGUUUCCUGUUAUAAUUGCAAGAGCAACUGGAUUCUGUUUCAAUCUGUCUCACUUAUGUUAAAAUAAAAAAACAAAGGGGGUCUCGCCCUGGGCGCCAUUCAAUGCAGAACCGCCCCUGGUUCUGCAGUUUCGUAAGAGUCGCACGCUAGACUGUUUAUUUUUAACAUUGAAUCAAAAAAGGAAG